ACGAACCGUACAAACGUUACUCGGAAUCACUGGGCUUAAAGGGUGCGUAGGCUGUCCGGUAAGUUGGGUGUGAAAUACCUCGGCUCAACCGAGGAAUUGCGCCCAAAACUGUCGGACUCGAGGGAGACAGAGGUGAGCGGAACUUAGGGUGGAGCGGUGAAAUGCGUUGAUAUCCUAAGGAACACCAGGGGCGAAAGCGGCUCACUGGGUCUCUUCUGACGCUGAGGCACGAAAGCUAGGGGAGCGAACGG
rnacentral:rRNA from 1 species